rnacentral:rRNA from 1 species
GCUUAACGCGAAGAACCUUACCCACCUUUGACAUGGCAGGAAGUUUCCAGAGAUGGAUUCGUGCUCGAAAGAGAACCUGCACACAGGUGCUGCAUGGCUGUCGUCAGCUCGUGUCGUGAGAUGUUGGGUUAAGUCCCGCAACGAGCGCAACCCUUGCCAUUAGUUGCUACGAAAGGGCACUCUAAUGGGACUGCCGGUGACAAACCGGAGGAAGGUGGGGAGUGACGUCAAGUCCUCAUGGCCCUUAUAGGUGGGGCUACACACGUCAUACAAUGGCCGGUACAAAGGGCAGCCAACCCGCAAGGGGGAGCCAAUCCCAUAAAGCCGGUCGUAGUCCGGAUCGCAGUCUGCAACUCGACUGCGUGAAGUCGGAAUCGCUAGUAAUCGUGGAUCAGCAUGUCACGGUGAAUACGUUCCCGGGUCUUGUACACACCG